CCAGAGGGGCGGGGCCCGCGGGGCGGAGCCUUCGAGGGGCGGGGCUGGCGCCAGGGGUGUCCCUCUGUCUACGGCGCUCGGGCGCCCCCCUCACCGCCCGCUAGGGAGGGACCCAGCUCCGCGAGGCCGCCCCCCACCCGCCGCGGCUUGGCUAACGCCCCGGGAAAUGCCGCGAGACUCCUCGAGACCAGAGGAGGGGAGGGAGGGUCCCAGGGCGGAGCGGGGGGGGGUCCUAGUGAGGGGGCACGUGGGAAAAGAGGUGGAAGGAACCGACCGGAGGGUGCGACGGGAGGUGGAAGACAGGCUGGGGGAGGGGAGCCCAUGGGCAGGUGAGGGGCCGAACACCUGCUGAGGGUGAUGACAGGUAAUCCUGGGGUGUCGAGGCAACCCAGAAGAAGGCUUCCUAGCGGGGGCCGUUGGGAAGAAGAGGUUCAUCCUACGGAGGGAGAGAAAUACUAUGUCCCUUCAGUGCAGCGUGGAAACCACAGACCAGGAACCCCACCCAGAAAAACUAGUCUGUGGCCUGUCCAGUUCCAGAAGUGAUUCUCUUCACCAAGGCCAAAGUCACUGGGUCACCUGAUCCCUCUCCUGAAGAGACUCAGACCUCUGAAACUGCCUGGAAAUGUUUCACCGUGGAAAGAGCUGAGCUGGACUUAUAGUGGACUAGCAUGUGGGGCUGAGGAUUCUUGGCCGGCUGGGCCGUGCAUUCUCAGGGCAAUGGGUCCAAAGUCUUUGAAUGUUGCUGGUGAUACCCACUGUGGCUGGAGUUACCUAGACAUCGCAAAGGCCGGUACACCUAAAGCGGCAAACUGGUGACUGAACUCUAGAGGCCUGAGAAAAAGAAGUCAGCAGCUUGUCUUAAUGUCCCAUUUAAUCUUACUCAUCUCUCUGUCCUACUUGGAUUAGACAGUCGUCUUUACUUCUUCUCCCAGUUUCCCACUGGCGAAGACAGGUGACCUCAACUUUUGUGUCUUGUUUUGGCUCUGGUCUAUUUCAGGACAUACCUUUUCCUUCUUGAACCAUAGUCCUUUGUCCCUGCUCCUGGAUCUGGGUAUGCUUCCUGCAUGGACAAAUCUGUCAUUUUAUCACAAAAGGAAAACUGAUAGCAAGACAAAGUUUUUGAAGAUUCCCGGGCUGUGCCCUAAUUUCAAUGCCUUAAGUAAAGUAAGUUGUAUCAACUCUAUCCAAAACACUAUGGACAUUCUGAGUUGCUCCAAAUUACAAAGAUAUACAUUCCUUCCCCUUCAUCCUCCUCACCACCACCCCCCAACACACACACACAUUUAUUGUUUGGCUCUUCUGAAUUUUUCCCUAUUGUCCUUUUAUUCCUCCUUUGAGAUACUUUUGCUGACCAGCACAAGGGAAGUUAAAAUCAAGAAUUAAAUCCAGCUUCUGACAAGAAUAGACAGAGAAUUCCUCAUCCUUCCUGCCUCUUACAAGAGUAUUUUUUAAUAGCAGAGUUAGUAUGCUAUUUCAAAUGUGUGAAUUCAGCUCACAAAUAUGGCUAGAGAAAUACAAUUGUAUUUAAUAUGGGUCUUUGUCCCAUGAACUCCCAUUCCUUCCAGAAUAAAAUGAUGCAUUUUGAG